AAAGUUCUUCUAUGUUUAACAGUGAAAUUGAGGAAGUUAACGUAAGUACUGAAAACAGUGUUAGUCAGAAUGUUACUAGUAAGAGUAGUGUGUGUGAUAAUAAUAAUAAUAAUAGUAGUAAUAAUAAUAAUAAUAGUAGUAAUAAUAAUAAUAAUAGUAGUAGUAGUAAUAAUAACAUAAAAGAUAAAGUUGACAAUACAGAUAAUAAUAAAAUGCCGUACUAUUUAAAAGUAAGUAAAAAAAGUGUAAAGGAAAUCCAAAGUAAAGAUUGUUUAGGAUGUCCUUUGAACAAUCGUAGUAAUAUAAAAACAAAAGAAUGGCUACCUAAUAAGAAUGAAAAUAUCGAUCGCCAUCAAAAUAAUACACCACUAAAAAAAAUGCAAAAUAUAUUUUUAAAAUGUAUAUACUCAGAUUCUCAUCCAUCGUAUGGCAACUUAGAUUAUAUAAAUGAAACAAAUGCGAUUGUAAAAAAUGAACAAAAUAGUAAUGACAAUAGUAUAGCUAAAGAAAAUUUUAAAAUUAUGGAAACGGUAGUAACGACAGGGUUUAAAAAUAAUACCACAGUAAAUAAGGUACAAACAGACCACAGUAUGACGACAGACACGAUAAAGCAUAAUAUAAAUAACACAAAUGUGAUGAACUCAAAUGUAGUAAACGGGUACAGUCGAAAUUCUGUAAACAUAUUUAAUACGAAAAGUAUGGGUGAGAAAAUAGGCUAUUGUAAAUUGUAUAACACUGGAGAAUGGAUAUGUAAUAAAUGUAACAAAACCAUAGCUGAUAAUAUCAUGCCUUUAAAUAGUGAAAAAUGUUUUAUAGAUAUAUAUACAAUUAUAAAACAAAAAAUAAGUACUAAUAAUUUUGAUAUGAAUUAUAUUUUUAAAAAAAUAGAAGAUAGUUUAUUAUAUGUAGUAACAAUAUUGGGUGAAAAACAUUGGCUAUAUGCUGGUUUUAAUUUUUUAAUUUCGGAUUUAUGUUUUUCAUAUUAUAAUAAUAAUAUAAAUAUGUUAAAUAAAAAAUACUUAUUAAAAAGUUUAAAUGCAUUUAAUAAUUUUUUGUAUUAUAUUCAAACAAAAUGUCCUCAUUCUAUUCAUACUGAUCUUAUACCAAUCGUAUUAAAAUUUUUAAUAUUAUCAAUAUAUACAUAUAAUUAUACAACAUUAUAUAAUUUUUUAAGUGAUGGUUUUUUAGAACUUAUUAAACAGAAAUAUGGUCACUGGGAUGUGUCUUACUUGUCUUUAUUAUAUGCGUUUAAGAUAUGUUAUGAUCACAUUAAUAAGGGCGUACCAAUAGAUAGACAAAUAAUGUUGAUGUUAGCUGCUUUGGCCAAAACAAAUAUGCUAAAUAAUCAUGUUUAACGCAGCACAAAAAAAAAAAAAAAAAAAAAAAAAAAAAAAAAAAAAAUUGUAUCAAUCGUUUUUAUACAUAUAGGCACGCAAAUGUACAUACAUAU
rnacentral:lncRNA from 1 species